rnacentral:rRNA from 1 species
CCUACGGGUGGCAGCAGUGAGGAAUAUUGGUCAAUGGCCGCAGGGCUGAACCAGCCAAGUCGCGUGAGGGAUGACGGUCCUAUGGAUUGUAAACCUCUUUUGUCAGGGAGCAAAGGGCGCCACGUGUGGCGUUUUGCGAGUACCUGAAGAAAAAGCAUCGGCUAACUCCGUGCCAGCAGCCGCGGUAAUACGGAGGAGGCAAGCGUUAUCCGGAAUGACUGGGCGUAAAGGGUGCGUAGGUGGUUUGACAAGUUAGUAGCGCAACUCCGGAGCUCAACUUCGGAACUACUACUAAAACUGUUGGACUUGAGUGCAGGAGGGGCAAUCGGAAUUCCUAGUGUAGCGGUGGAAUGCGUAGAUAUUAGGAGGAACACCAGUGGCGAAGGCGGAUUGCUAGACUGUAACUGACACUGAGGCACGAAAGCGUGGGGAGCAAACAGGAUUAGAUACCCCUGUAGUC